rnacentral:rRNA from 1 species
GACGUAGGGUCCGAGCGUUGUCCGGAGUUACUGGGCGUAAAGGGCGCGUAGGCGGCUUUGUGCGUCACACGUGAAAGCCCCUGGCUUAACCAGGGAGGGUCGUGUGAAACGGCGAGCUGGAGGCAGAGAGAGGCUGGUGGAAUUCCCGGAGUAGUGGUGAAAUGCGUAGAUAUCGGGAGGAACACCGGUGGCGAAGGCGGCCAGCUGGCUGCUGAC